UCAGAUAGUGUGCGUCUAUGGCUUUGUAAAGGAGAAGGUAUUACAUCUGAACAGUGGACACGAAUUAAAAGCGAAUGUAUUAAUCCAAGAAUCAAUCAAUUAAUGCCUGAAAUUGGUGUCAAUAUUUGGCAAGAAUGCAGUCAAAAGGUAUCUGAUCUCUGCGAUGAUAUUCAAUGGAAAGAYGGAAAAGAUUGUGUCCGAGAUAUGAUUUCAGAUCAAGAUAUCGGGGAAAUGCAURUCUGGUAUAAAGGUCGAGCCAUUCAAAUGAGAAAUAGCUUUCAUAUA